rnacentral:rRNA from 1 species
UACGUAGGGUGCAAGCGUUAAUCGGAAUUACUGGGCGUAAAGCGUGCGCAGGCGGUUUUGUAAGUUUGUCGUGAAAUCCCCGGGCUCAACCUGGGAAUUGCGAUGGAGACUGCAAGGCUAGAAUCUGGCAGAGGGGGGUAGAAUUCCACGUGUAGCAGUGAAAUGCGUAGAGAUGUGGAGGAACACCGAUGGCGAAGGCAGCCCCCUGGGUCAAGAUUGACGCUCAUGCACGAAAGCGU